AUUGCCCUAGUAACGGCGAGUGAAGCGGCAACAGCUCAAAUUUGAAAUCUGGCUUCGGCCCGAGUUGUAAUUUGUAGAGGAAACUUUUGGUGAGGCACCUUCUGAGUCCCUUGGAACAGGGCGCCAUAGAGGGUGAGAGCCCCGUAUAGUCGGAUGCCGAUCCAAUGUAAAGUUCCUUCGACGAGUCGAGUAGUUUGGGAAUGCUGCUCAAAAUGGGAGGUAAAUUUCUUCUAAAGCUAAAUAUAGGCCAGAGACCGAUAGCGCACAAGUAGAGUGAUCGAAAGAUGAAAAGCACUUUGAAAAGAGGGUUAAAUAGCACGUGAAAUUGUUGAAAGGGAAGCGUUUGUGACCAGACUUGCGCCGUUCCGAUCAUCCGGUGUUCUCACCGGUGCACUCGGGGCGGCUCAGGCCAGCAUCGGUUUUGGUGGGGGGAUAAAGGUCCAGGGAACGUAGCUCCUCCGGGAGUGUUAUAGCCCUGGGCGUAAUGCCCUCGCUGGGACCGAGGUUCGCGCAUCUGCAAGGAUGCUGGCGUAAUGGUCAUCAACGACCCGUCUUGAAACACGGACCAAGGAGUCAAGGUUUUGCGCGAGUGUUUGGGUGUAAAACCCGCACGCGUAAUGAAAGUGAACGUAGGUGAGAGCUUCGGCGCAUCAUCGACCGAUCCUGAUGUAUUCGGAUGGAUUUGAGUAAGAGCGUUAAGCCUUGGACCCGAAAGAUGGUGAACUAUGCUUGGAUAGGGUGAAGCCAGAGGAAACUCUGGUGGAGGCUCGCAGCGGUUCUGACGUGCAAAUCGAUCGUCAAAUCUGAGCAUGGGGGCGAAAGACUAAUCGA
rnacentral:rRNA from 1 species